UACGUAGGUGGCAAGCGUUGUCCGGAAUUAUUGGGCGUAAAGAGCUCGUAGGCGGUUUGUCGCGUCUGCCGUGAAAGUCCGGGGCUCAACUCCGGAUCUGCGGUGGGUACGGGCAGACUAGAGUGAUGUAGGGGAGACUGGAAUUCCUGGUGUAGCGGUGAAAUGCGCAGAUAUCAGGAGGAACACCGAUGGCGAAGGCAGGUCUCUGGGCAUUAACUGACGCUGAGGAGCGAAAGCAUGGGGGAGCGAACAGG
rnacentral:rRNA from 1 species